rnacentral:rRNA from 1 species
CCUACGGGUGGCAGCAGUAGGGAAUCUUUCACAAUGGGCGAAAGCCUGAUGGAGCAACGCCGCGUGCAGGAUGAAGGCCUUCGGGUUGUAAACUGCUUUUAUAAGCGAGAAAUAUGAGGGUAACUUAUGAAUAAGGAUCGGCUAACUACGUGCCAGCAGCCGCGGUCAUACGUAGGAUCGGAGCAGUAACCGGAGUGACUGGGUGUAAAGAGUUGCGUAGGUGGCAUAAUAAGUAGCUAGUGAAAUCUGGUGGCUCAACCAUUCAGACUAUUAGCUAAACUGUUUAGCUCGAGACCGUUAGGGGUAACUGGAAUUUCUAGUGUAGGAGUGAAAUGCGUAGAUAUUAGAAGGAACACCAGUAGCGUAGGCAGGUUGCUGGGACGGUUCUGACACUAAGGCACGAAAGCGUAGGGAGCAAACGGGAUUAGAUACCCUAGUAGUC